rnacentral:rRNA from 1 species
UCCGUAAGGGGAACCUGCGGAAGGAUCAUUAGUGAAUAUAGGACGUCCAACUUAACUUGGAGUCCGAACUCUCACUUUCUAACCCUGUGCACUUGUUUGGGAUAGUAACUCUCGCAAGAGAGCGAACUCCUAUUCACUUAUAAACACAAAGUCUAUGAAUGUAUUAAAUUUUAUAACAAAAUAAAACUUUCAACAACGGAUCUCUUGGCUCUCGCAUCGAUGAAGAACGCAGCGAAAUGCGAUAAGUAAUGUGAAUUGCAGAAUUCAGUGAAUCAUCGAAUCUUUGAACGCACCUUGCGCUCCAUGGUAUUCCGUGGAGCAUGCCUGUUUGAGUGUCAUGAAUACUUCAACCCUCCUCUUUCUUAAUGAUUGAAGAGGUGUUUGGUUUCUGAGCGCUGCUGGCCUUUACGGUCUAGCUCGUUCGUAAUGCAUUAGCAUCCGCAAUCGAACUUCGGAUUGACUUGGCGUAAUAGACUAUUCGCUGAGGAAUUCUAGUCUUCGGACUAGAGCCGGGUUGGGUUAAAGGAAGCUUCUAAUCAGAAUGUCUACAUUUUAAGAUUAGAUCUCAAAUCAGGUAGGACUACCCGCUGAACUUAAGCAUAUCAUAAGCCGGAAGGA